UUGAAAGCACGCCCCUGUAGAAGAUAGGAUUGGGCAGCGGGAGGGCCGGCCCUAUCGUUAACCCUGGACCUGGUAUGAGGCUAAGGUGCAGCGCUGGCCGACAUUCCCUGCCACGGGUGAGCACAAGGGCAAGCUGCUGCUGCUGGGAGCCCACACCAGUCCCCUUCUCAGGCCCCCUCCCCUUCUGUCGCCCCAUCCCCCUCUCCUUCCCAGUCCCCUUCUCAGGCUCCUUCCCCUUCUGUCGCCCCAUCCCCCUCUUCUUCCCAGGCACCUUUUCAGGCCCCCUCCCCUUCUGUUGCCCCAUCCCCCUCUUCUUCCCAGGCCCCUUCUCAGGCCCCCUCCCCUUCUGUUGCCCCAUCCCCCUCUUCUUCCCAGUCCCCUUCUCAGGCCCCCUCCCCUUCUUUCUCCCCAUCCCCGUCUUCUUCCCAGGCCCAUUCUCAGGCCCCCUCCCCCUCUCUUUACCGAUACCCGUCUCUGUCCCCCUCCGCCUCUGAAUCAGACCCACCCUCUGAAAAUAGCUCCCCAAUCCCUCCUCCUUCACCAAUCCAGCCUCCUUCCCAAAUCCAGCCCCCUUCCCCAAUCCAGCCUCCUUCCCCCAUCCAGCCUCCUUCCCCAAUCCAGCCUCCUUCCCCAAUCCAGCCUCCUUCCCCCAUCCAGCCCCCUUCCCCACCGAGUGAAUGGGCAGCAGAAGCCCCAGCUGAGAUUCCUGGGAGUCCGCAUGUGGCAGCUGAGAGUAAGUGUUUCAACAUUUAAAAUGUAUUGGUUACCUACUUAAAAUUAAAAUACAUGCAGUGUUGUACUGUGAUCAAUCUUGGCCCACAGAAGGUUUGUGUUCUUCUUCAUGGUAUAGAUGUUGCAUUUACCUCUUCUUCCCAGUCCCCUUCUCAGGCCCCCUCCCCUUCUUUCUCCCCAUCCCCGUCUUCUUCCCAGGCCCAUUCUCAGGCCCCCUCCCCCUCUCUUUACCGAUACCCGUCUCUGUCCCCCUCUGAAUCAGACCCACCCUCUGAAAAUAGCUCCCCAAUCCCUCCUCCUUCACCAAUCCAGCCUCCUUCCCAAAUCCAGCCCCCUUCCCCAAUCCAGCCUCCUUCCCCCAUCCAGCCUCCUUCCCCAAUCCAGCCUCCUUCCCCAAUCCAGCCUCCUUCCCCCAUCCAGCCCCCUUCCCCACCGAGUGAAUGGGCAGCAGAAGCCCCAGCUGAGAUUCCUGGGAGUCCGCAUGUGGCAGCUGAGAAUGAUGCAGUUGGAGAUCCCACAAGCCUGCCUGGCAUCCUGGCCAGCUUAAGGGCCCAUUUGCAGGCCAUGAUGUGUGAUGUAAAGAUGCUCCAAAAAUUUUGCUAAAUUUAAUUUAAUUUUUAUAAAAAAAAUACACUAAA